CUGACACUACAAACGCCAUCUUUCACGUGGGCGGAACUUGUCUCUGCUUGACGCGCCGCUGUUUCCUCGUGGGACUCCAGCCUUCACAAGAAAAAACUCUGUGAACUUAAUAGAGGAAGAGAAACUGGAGGAUCUCCUUCUGAUUCCUGGAUCCCAUGAUGAGAAACAUCCUGACAGCCGUCAAAAAGGAGGAAUUUCUGAAAAUGACAGAAGCUUUGAACCCUCAAAGGAGUAAAAUAAAUCAAGGUUUUUCUUAAAAUGUAAAUUUCAACCCAACUCUAACUUUGGUGGACUGCUUUUAAGAAACAGAGAGGUCUGCUGGGGAGUCUAAUUUUGCAAAGUUACUCACUUUUUGACGACCAAGUGAUAUCCCUUGAGCAUGGCCUCCAGACUACUCUCUGUACCUUGUGCUGCUGGAGAGAUCAGCACAAUCAGAAAAUGUUCUUUACAGCAAAGCUUUAUAGGAAAAGGUUUCAUUUAUGUGACAUCCAAGAUGGAUUUGUAGUUUAGCUUCAGCUGAAGACUUUCUGGAUUGACUCAGGAUACAGGGCCUCUUCUGCUUCAGAGAGAACAUCAUUACUUAAUUUAGCUACCUUUAGGCCCCUUUCAAGCUUUAGAAAUAGGCGAACCACUUUUGGAAGGUGGUAUAACUUUUGAGAGGCAGGACGUCAUGAGAGGAUUUUGCCAUGUGUUUCCAGAUGUGCUUCCUCGAUAGAAGUCCAAAGCCACCAGGCAACUGAAAAUGGACCAGCACUUUAAACGCUGAGCCAAAUAAGCUUCCUGUACUUAUAAGUUAUUUACAUCAGAGAUUUUUGUUAUGAUAAAAGAAAGCUAAUACAUCUUCUAAAUAGCUAAAUUCUAGAGUCUUUUAUGUAUGUUAGGCAGCCGCUAGCCCUACAAAAAUCAUGCCACAUCAAUAGAGACAUCACUAUAACACAAAAUCAAUAUUCCUUAUGUUCAUGCUUAUAACUAUUAUUUGAUAAUGACAAAAAUUGUCAUUUAUAUAGAGAUGUGUUCUAUUUUGAUAGUGCUCGAGAACAGAUGCCUGUAGAAUAUUAAGAUUAAUGCUUCUACAAUCAUCAUUUGCUCUUAGUCAAUGUAAUAUCGAAUUCACUAGUACAGUUCACAUGAAGUUCAACAAAUUUGGUCAACAAAAUAUGAUAACAAAUCAUUGCCUAUUGUCUUUAUUUUUUGCAUCUGUUUUUAAGGUUUAUUUCAUUUUAAAUUAUGUACAUACGUUGUAUCGCAUGUGUGCAUGCACAACCUGGGUGCAGGUGAUCACAACUUUUUAAGUUGGAGAAUACAGCUCACCCUAAGAAACAAGUGCACAAUUUAUAGGUGCACAGCUUAUGGGUGUCACAACAUCAGCACAUGUGGGUGGUCACUCCCCAAGUCAGAAAAAAUAAUGUUGUUGCUGAAAUGGCUCUGUUGGUAAAGGUUCUUGCUCCCCUGCCCUGAGCUCAAUUCUCAUAGCUACAUGGUAAAAAGAGAAUUGGUCCCUACAGCUUGUCCUCUGACCUUACAAUGUGCAUAGUGGUGUGUGCAGCAACUCACUGCUUGCCCAGCCAAAAUAAAGAGAUGUGUAAAAA
rnacentral:sRNA from 1 species